GAUGAAGAACGUAGCUAAAUGCGAUAAGUAAUGUGAAUUGCAGAAUUCAGUGAAUCAUCGAAUCUUUGAACGCACAUUGCGCCCGCUAGUAUUCUGGCGGGCAUGCCUGUUCGAGCGUCAUUUCAACCAUCAAGCCCUGUUUAGGCUUGUGUUGGGGCCCUGCGGUUGCCGCAGCCCCCUAAAUGCAGUGGCGGGCUCGUUGUCACUCCGAGCGCAGUAGCGUAUCUCGCUCUGGGCGUGGCGGCGGGUGCUAGCCGUGAAACACCCACUAAGGUUGACCUCGGAUCAGGUAGGAAUACCCGCUGAACUUAAGCAUAUCAAUAAGCUGAGGA
rnacentral:misc_RNA from 1 species